CUUAGAGUUUGAUGCCUGGCUCAGAUUGAACGCUGGCGGUAUGCUUAACACAUGCAAGUCGAACGGAAACGAUACUAGCUUGCUAGUAGGCGUCGAGUGGCGGACGGGUGAGUAACGCGUAGGAAUCUGCCUGAUAGUGGGGGAUAGCCCGAAGAAAUUCGGAUUAAUACCGCAUAAUCUAUUCGUAGUAAAGUGGGGGACUUUCGAGCCUCACGCUAUCAGAUGAGCCUGCGUAAGAUUAGCUUGUUGGUAGGGUAAAAGCCUACCAAGGCGACGAUCUUUAGCUGGUCUGAGAGGAUGAUCAGCCACAUCGGGACUGAGACACGGCCCGAACUCCUACGGGAGGCAGCAGUGGGGAAUAUUGGACAAUGGGGGCAACCCUGAUCCAGCAAUACCGCGUGUGUGAAGAAGGCCUGAGGGUUGUAAAGCACUUUCAAUUGUGAAGAAAAGUUAGCGGUUAAUAACCGUUAGCCUUGACGUUAACUUUAGAAGAAGCACCGGCUAACUCCGUGCCAGCAGCCGCGGUAAUACGGAGGGUGCAAGCGUUAAUCGGAAUUACUGGGCGUAAAGCGUGCGUAGGCGGUUUAUUAAGUCAGAUGUGAAAGCCCCGGGCUUAACCUGGGAACUGCAUUUGAAACUGGUCAACUAGAGUAUGGUAGAGGAAAGUGGAAUUUCUGGUGUAGCGGUGAAAUGCGUAGAUAUCAGAAGGAACAUCAAUGGCGAAGGCAGCUUUCUGGACCAAUACUGACGCUGAGGUACGAAAGCGUGGGCAGCAAACAGGAUUAGAUAUCCUGGUAGUCCACGCCGUAAACGAUGAUAACUAGCCGUUGGGGGGAUUUACCCCUUAGUGGCGAAGCUAACGCGUUAAGUUAUCCGCCUGGGGAGUACGGCCGCAAGGUUAAAACUCAAAGGAAUUGACGGGGACCCGCACAAGCGGUGGAGCAUGUGGUUUAAUUCGAUGCAACGCGAAGAACCUUACCUGGUCUUGACAUCCUGCGAACUUUCUAGAAAUAGAUUGGUGCCUUCGGGAACGCAGUGACAGGUGCUGCAUGGCUGUCGUCAGCUCGUGUCGUGAGAUGUUGGGUUAAGUCCCGUAACGAGCGCAACCCCUAUCCUUAUUUGCCAGCACAUCAUGGUGGGAACUAUAAGGAGACUGCCGGUGAUAAACCGGAGGAAGGCGGGGACGACGUCAAGUCAUCAUGGCCCUUACGACCAGGGCUACACACGUGCUACAAUGGGAAGGACAAAGAGCCGCGAAGCCGCGAGGUGUAGCUAAUCUCAUAAACCUUUUCGUAGUCCGGAUUGGAGUCUGCAACUCGACUCCAUGAAGUCGGAAUCGCUAGUAAUCGUAGAUCAGAAUGCUACGGUGAAUACGUUCCCGGGUCUUGUACUCACCGCCCGUCAAGG
rnacentral:rRNA from 1 species